rnacentral:rRNA from 1 species
UACGAAGGGGGCUAGCGUUGUUCGGAAUUACUGGGCGUAAAGCGCACGUAGGCGGAUUUGUAAGUCAGGGGUGAAAUCCUGGAGCUCAACUCCAGAACUGCCUUUGAUACUGAAGAUCUUGAGUUCGGGAGAGGUGAGUGGAACUGCGAGUGUAGAGGUGAAAUUCGUAGAUAUUCGCAAGAACACCAGUGGCGAAGGCGGCUCACUGGCCCGAUACUGACGCUGAGGCACGAAAGCGUGGGGAGCAAACAGG